rnacentral:rRNA from 1 species
UACGUAGGGGGCCAGCGUUGUCCGGAUUCAUUGGGCGUAAAGCGCGUGUAGGCGGCCGUACAGGUCCGGUGUGAAAACUCGAGGCUCAACCUCGAGAGGUCAUCGGAAACCGUACGGCUAGAGUCCGGAAGAGGAGAGUGGAAUUCCUGGUGUAGCGGUGGAAUGCGCAGAUAUCAGGAGGAACACCGGUGGCGAAGGCGGGAUCCUGGGCCAGUACUGACGCUCAUGCACGAAAGCGUGGGGAGCAAACAGG